CAUGUAUUCAGUCUUAAUUGGAGCUUGAUCAUUAUUUGUAUCCCAGAUAAAGGUGAUGAAUCAGGGCCAAUCAUACUUCAUCUGGAUUCUUUGAGUCUUCACUCUAGCAGAUCACUAUUUGAUAACAUCAAAAGGUUAGGAUGAAGUAGCACUUGAUUUAUUGUAUACCAUAUAUGUGACAUAUCUAGUUCAUUUCUGCUCUGGUUAUUAGUUCUUAAACAUAUCACAGCUUCCAUAUCUUGUGACUUCACUACCAUCCUAUGUUACAACAGCUGGCACAGGAAAGUGCCUUUCAUAAUAUAUAAAGAGAAAAUUAAACACCUCAUCAAUCAACUCAAAGAAAGUAGUGUGUUUAAAAUAGGGUCAUUUCAACAGGAAUGGCAUAUGCAUAUCUAAUCUUGCGAGCAAUCUGUUUCUAUGGAUUGAGGUGGCAGCCAAGAAAACUUUGCGGGGUUCUCAAAGGGGAAACAAUGUGUUCUUCAGUGGCCGCGAGCAGCGGGGAUUUUGUGACAUGGGAUCAAAAAUAUAGAUAGAUUAUAGAUAGAGGAUAUAUACUCUUUAAUAUUUUGUUGUCCUUUGCACCCACCGCAUGCAUAGCUGGCAUUGCCAAUUGUUCUUGUCUUUCUGUUUUUACUCUUAUAGUUUUACCAUUAGAUUUUGGAUUCACGCUUCUUUAUUUCCCCUUAAUACAAUAAAUGAAACUCGUGUCCAAUUCCAUGAUUCCUAAGAUUGACACUAUUGGAUUGAUUUCAAUUUUAAAAUAUUGUGAUUUGUGAUGGCUGGUA